GACGAACGCUGGCGGCGUGCUUAACACAUGCAAGUCGAACGAAGUGGCGGACGGGUGAGUAACGCGUAAUCAACCUGCCCUUCAGAGGGGGACAACAGUUGGAAACGAAUGCUAAUACCGCAUAAUGAAGGAGGGGAGUGCGUCUGAUUAGCUAGUUGGCGGGGUAACGGCCCACCACGGCGAUGAUCAGUAGCCGGUUUGGGAGGAUGAACGGCCACAUUGGGACUGAGACACGGCCCAGACUCCUACGGGAGGCAGCAGUGGGGAAUCUUCCGCAAUGGACGAAAGUCUGACGGAGCAACGCCGCGUGAGUGAUGACGGCCUUCGGGUUGUAAAGCUCUGUUAAUCGGGACGCGGUACCGGAAUAGAAAGCCACGGCUAACUACGUGCCAGCAGCCGCGGUAAUUC
rnacentral:rRNA from 1 species